UCUCAUCUCCCUCCCUCUGAGCUGUCUCUCUCUCUCCCCAUAACUCCCACAGGUUUGACAGCUCAUCUCCCUCCCUCUGAGCUGUCUCUCUCUCUCCCCAUAACUCCCACAGGUUUGACAGCUCAUCUCCCUCCCGCAGAGAGAAGAAGAAGAAGACUGGGAAAAAACACAAGCGAGACAGGUGUGUUUACAUGUUUGGUGUGUGUGUGUGUGUGUGUGCGUGUGUGUGUGUGCAUGUGCGUGUGUGUGUGUGUGUGUGUGUGUGUGUGUGUGCCUGCAUGUGAGUCAUAAGGAAGGAGGAGGGAUUUACUAGAGAGAUGGACUUCUGUCUCAUUAAGUUUUCAUGACCAUUCAUAUUGUAGAUUAUAUAUCGAGCCUGUGAGAACCACCGGUUCCACACUAGAAAUAGCCAGAGAAUGUGGACGUACCCAGACGGGCUUCAGCCUGCUUGCGUAACAGGGAAAAGGGGUCCAUCUUACCACAGGACACUUCACAACAUAACUGUCCCAGAAAAAGCUGAGAUGGAAAAUGUAAUGUUGGUGUCGACACUCAGAAAUACCCAACUCAAGCUAUCCUAUAGACCCAAAUAGUACCGGAACCACACAUAAGCAAUCAUUUCCAGACAAUAAAAUAAUAUUGAUAAGGAUGUUGAUAAGGAUAUUGUGAUAAGGUGC
ensembl:lncRNA